UGUAUGGACGGGAUAAGUGCUGAAAGCAUCUAAGCAUGAAGCCCCCCUUAAGAUGAGAUUUCCCAACUUCGGUUAUAAGAUCCCUCAGAGAUGAUGAGGUUAAUAGGUUCGAGGUGGAAGCGUGGUGACACGUGGAGCUGACGAAUACUAAUCGAUCGAAGACUUAAUCAAUUU
rnacentral:rRNA from 1 species